rnacentral:rRNA from 1 species
GACGAACGCUGGCGGCGUGCUUAACACAUGCAAGUCGAACGGAAAGGCCCUGCUUUUGUGGGGUGCUCGAGUGGCGAACGGGUGAGUAACACGUGAGUAACCUGCCCUUGACUUUGGGAUAACUUCAGGAAACUGGGGCUAAUACCGGAUAGGAGCUCCUGCUGCGUGGUGGGGGUUGGAAAGUUUCGGCGGUUGGGGAUGGACUCGCGGCUUAUCAGCUUGUUGGUGGGGUAGUGGCUUACCAAGGCUUUGACGGGUAGCCGGCCUGAGAGGGUGACCGGCCACAUUGGGACUGAGAGAGGGACCAGACUGCUACGGGAGGCAGCAGUGGGGAAUAUUGCACAAUGGGAGGAAGCCUGAUGCAGCGACGCCGCGUGCGGGAUGACGGCCUUCGGGUUGUAAACCGCUUUCGCCUGUGACGAAGCGUGAGUGACGGUAAUGGGUAAAGAAGCACCGGCUAACUACGUG